CACGCGGGAGCCGCCGGGCCCGCCGCCCGGGCUGCUGGAGGCACCAUGGGCGCGAAGGAGACCGAGGCGGGCCGGGCCCUGACAGGUGGCACAGGCGGCGGCGCCGGCAGCUGCUGGGAGAACCGGAAGUUCGUGCAUCUCAGAGGCCGCUGCUGCUAGAGACGCUUUCGGUUGCUAUCCUGUCAGGGUGGGGCGCGCUCAGUGACGUCAGAGGCGCGGGGCCGACUGCGCACGCGUCCUGGUGGAAGCAGGAAGGUGCAGACUUUGACGUUGGUUUUGGUGCUCUGGCUGAGUAGGAAAAGGAGUGGUUUAAGGAUAAACCUGUACAUGUUUAGUACAGGUGUGAUUUUUUCCCAGCUAUUUUCCAUGCACAGUUGGUUGAAUCUUCCAGUGAAGAACCUACAGAUAGAUUUGGAGGGUAACAGAUAGCUGUUCUGUCUCCUGAGGCCUCAUCAGAGAACAAAGUUCCAAGUGACUUCAAAGGGUUUUCUGCACUCAGAGCAGCUCUAUGGGGCAUGGAGGAAGAAGAGAAAUGAACCGACACCGAAGGUGCAACGAAAGGUAAAGAAGGACUUGUGAAAAUUGUGAAAAUUUACCAGACUAACCUGCUAAAAAACUAGGAAG